rnacentral:rRNA from 1 species
CAGUCGCCGCGGUAAAACGUAGGUCCCGAGCGUUGUCCGGAUUUAUUGGGCGUAAAGCGAGCGCAGGCGGUUAGAUAAGUCUGAAGUUAAAGGCUGUGGCUUAACCAUAGUACGCUUUGGAAACUGUUUAACUUGAGUGCAAGAGGGGAGAGUGGAAUUCCAUGUGUAGCGGUGAAAUGCGUAGAUAUAUGGAGGAACACCGGUGGCGAAAGCGGCUCUCUGGCUUGUAACUGACGCUGAGGCUCGAAAGCGUGGGGAGCAAGCAGGAUUAGAUACCCGUGUAGUCCCUGUCUCUUAUACA